rnacentral:rRNA from 1 species
UACAGAGGUCUCAAGCGUUGUUCGGAUUCAUUGGGCGUAAAGGGUGCGUAGGUGGCGCCGUAAGUCAGGUGUGAAAUUUCGGAGCUUAACUCCGAAACUGCAUUUGAUACUGCGGUGCUUGAGGACUGGAGAGGAGACUGGAAUUCACGGUGUAGCAGUGAAAUGCGUAGAUAUCGUAAGGAAGACCAGUGGCGAAGGCGGGUCUCUGGACAGUUCCUGACGCUGAGGCAGCGAAGGUCAGGGGAGCAAACGGG